UGUCUAUGAUGAUAAAUUUUAAGGCUUGUUUCUCAAAACAUUCGCAGUGGCCGCCUAAGUGCUUUCGCCUUCGCCUGGCUUGAGAGUUUAUGCUGCUUUUAUCCUUCCUUGGAUGUCUGAGACA
rnacentral:snoRNA from 1 species